UACGUAGGGAGCAAGCGUUAUCCGGAUUCAUUGGGCGUAAAGCGCGCGUAGGCGGCUUGUUAAGUCAGGCGUUAAAUCCUAGGGCUCAACCCCGGGCUGCACCUGAAACUGGCAGGCUUGAGUUCGGUAGGGGAAAGUGGAAUUCCCAGUGUAGCGGUGAAAUGCGCAGAUAUUGGGAAGAACACCGGUGGCGAAGGCGGCUUUCUGGGCCGUAACUGACGCUGAGGCGCGAAAGCUAGGGGAGCAAACAGG
rnacentral:rRNA from 1 species